UUGAAUACCACUUUGGUCAGUGUUAAGUAUCAAGUAUUCAUUGUCUUUGAAGUUGAUUAUGCUCUUUUCCAGUCCUAUUCAUAAGGCCUGGAAUGACAUUGCUCUUCCUUCCUAGCUAGUCAAAUUCUGAAGCGCAUGGUGUAAGAUUGAUUUCCCUCAGCACAUCUUGCACACAGUGAGCAUGCAUAUUCUCUUCAUUUUUUUACUCUUUGAGGUAUGGGACAAUGUUUGUCAAAGUGCUUCCACAGUACACUAGUUUUAGGAAAUAAGUUUUUGGAAGAAAGUUCCGUAUUUCAUCACAUAAUUGUCACAACCACAUUAAUGUAUAUUCCUGAGUGUUCCAAGUAUCCUGCCCUUGCACCAGUUUAGUAAUAAAUGUAUUUUAAGUAACACUGGCACAGUUUUUAAAGAGCCUCACAUAAUAGUAACCACUUUUUCAUAAAAAAUUGGCAUAAAAUCUGGAACAAUUAUGUGGUGAAAUAUGGUACCAUAAUUGCAUAUAUUUGGGAAUGGGAAAAAUGGGAAAAACUGAUCAUAC
rnacentral:lncRNA from 1 species